UACGGAGGGUGCGAGCGUUGUCCGGAAUUAUUGGGCGUAAAGGGCUCGUAGGCGGUUUGUCGCGUCGGGAGUGAAAUCCACUGGCUUAACUGGUGGCUUGCUUUCGAUACGGGCAGACUGGAGGUAUGCAGGGGAGAACGGAAUUCCUGGUGUAGCGGUGAAAUGCGCAGAUAUCAGGAGGAACACCGGUGGCGAAGGCGAUUCUCUGGGCAUGUCCUGACGCUGAGGAGCGAAAGUGUGGGGAGCGAACAGG
rnacentral:rRNA from 1 species